rnacentral:lncRNA from 1 species
CUGCCUCAUCAGCUGUAUCGUCUGUUCUAUUUGUGCCAUCCACUCCAUCAUCUAGAUCUGAAGUUGUUGGUACUCGUCGAUGCAUGCAGCCAACUCUUGAGCUCGCUGCUCAGCCUGUUAUCGAUCUUUGAUAGCCUACUGUCGAUCCUUGGCAGCCUGCCUCUGCACCUCCAUCAGUUGAGCCUCACAUAUAGAAUGGAUGUU